UACGAAGGGGGCUAGCGUUGUUCGGAAUCACUGGGCGUAAAGCGCACGUAGGCGGAUCUUUAAGUCAGGGGCGAAAUCCCGAGGCUCAACCUCGGAACUGCCUUUGAUACUGGGGAUCUCGAGUUCGGGAGAGGUGAGUGGAACUGCGAGUGUAGAGGUGAAAUUCGUAGAUAUUCGCAAGAACACCAGUGGCGAAGGCGGCUCACUGGCCCGAUACUGACGCUGAGGUGCGAAAGCGUGGGGAGCAAACAGG
rnacentral:rRNA from 1 species